UAUUUAUAUCCUGUAUUGCUGUCAUUCUCAAAACAGUGAAGUAUUUCUCAUUUUUAUCAUAAUCAUUGCUCUAUUUUACAUCUUAGUUGUUGUUGUCUGCACUCCCGAUUUCUUGCAGUAAAGUAGAAAUUUUAGUACUGUAUUUGGAUUUGGAUGACAUGAAUUUGGAUUUGGAUUUGAGCGGGUCCAAAUCUAAAUCCUUUGUUUAGAUAACUUAAAAGAAUUAGAUUUGGAUUUGGCCCAAAUACAUCUUGGAUUUCAGGGUCCAAAUCCAUGGAUUUGAAAUACCCUCAAAAACCCAGGAAUUUAGAAAUCUCUCACUCUCACGCACACUGUUUCUCUCUGGGCUCUCCGUGUCUCUCUUCCUAGCCGUAACUCACAAACUCUUCUUCCCCCUCUCUCUCGGCAAGGCAACUAUAGCCAACUUGUCUGUGUGACCAAUGAAUUCUAGCUAAAAUCACACUUCCUUGUUAUAGUCUUGUGGUGGAGUAGUGGAUGAUAGAGAUGGAUUAUAAGAUUACCAUUUAGAGCAGAAAAGGUAAUUAAAGAAGUUGAUGAGGCUGAGUGCAGCUAACAACCAAUAAAAAAGAUCAAGCCUAUCCUUGUUGAAGUCAUUUUCACUAAGCCAUCCACCACUUGAAGAACUUGAGGUAAUUUUGUUCACUAGGGAAACAAGGAGUGAGCUUAAAUGGAAGUGGGAAUGUGGAGGUUCCCCCAACAUUUGUGCUUUAAAGUCCACCCCUUGUCAUCUUUCAAACAAGGUGGGGCUUAUUGUGAAAUGAAUGAACAAGAGCCAGAGACUGUGAGACUACAAGGUAAUAAUGAUGGUUCUUCCCCUUCUAAUUCCAAUGCUGGGAAUUCUGUGCAUGAGAGUUGCUUUCCCUUCUCGAUGGCUGAUGGGGAAAACUUGUGGGAAAAUUAUGCUUUGAAACUCAACAAAGGCAAUCACAACCAGUAAGUAAAAAAAAAAAAAAA